rnacentral:rRNA from 1 species
UACGUAGGGUGCAGGCGUUAAUCGGAAUUACUGGGCGGAAAGCGUGCGCAGGCGGUUUGCUAAGACAGGUGUGAAAUCCCCGGGCUUAACCUGGGAACUGCGCUUGUUACUGGCAAGCUGGAGUGUGGCAGAGGGGGGUGGAAUUCCACGUGUAGCAGUGAAAUGCGUAGAGAUGUGGAGGAACACCGAUGGCGAAGGCAGCCCCCUGGGCUAACACUGACGCUCAUGCACGAAAGCGUGGGGAGCAAACAGG